GCCCGUUGGACAAAGUGGUCCUUGAGUGACUGUAAUCUCUUGGUAGCUUGUAGAGGGGAAGACUGUAGACUCCCAGACGUAGUACGUGAACCAUAUAGAUACAACGGUAUUCCCAACAUAAAUUUAAUGGGGAAAAGGAACCAUGAGAAGAUGCAUCUGAGCAAAUGUACCCAACUACUGCUCUGCCUGGUAAAACUGCUCACUCUGGAUGCUCGAGAACUUUGUAACGGAGGAGACAUUGGACCGACGUUUUCAUCAACAUCUUCCUGUGAUGAGUAUUCUACACUUGAUGAGGCAUUGGGUUCAACAGAAAGCUCAUGAAUGAAU
rnacentral:misc_RNA from 1 species